CCUACGGGAGGCAGCAGUGAGGAAUAUUGGUCAAUGGACGCAAGUCUGAACCAGCCAUGCCGCGUGCAGGAAGACGGCUCUAUGAGUUGUAACCUGCUUUUGUACGAGGGUAAACGCAGAUACGCGUAUCUGUCUGAAAGUAUCGUACGAAUAAGGAUCGGCUAACUCCGUGCCAGCAGCCGCGGUAAUACGGAGGAUUCAAGCGUUAUCCGGAUUUAUUGGGUUUAAAGGGUGCGUAGGCGGUCGGAUAAGUUAGAAGUGAAAUCCCGGGGCUCAACUUCGGAAUUGCCUCUGAUACUGUUCGGCUAGAGAGUAGUAGCGGUAGGCGGAAUGUAUGGUGUAGCGGUGAAAUGCUUAGAGAUCAGACAGAACACCGAUUGCGAAGGCAGCUUACCAAGCUACUUCUGACGUUGAGGCACGAAAGCGUGGGGAGCAAACAGGAUUAGAUACCCCUGUAGUC
rnacentral:rRNA from 1 species